rnacentral:rRNA from 1 species
UACAGAGGUCUCAAGCGUUGUUCGGAUUCAUUGGGCGUAAAGCGCGCGUAGGCGGCUUCUUAAGUCUGGGGUGAAAGGUUCAACGCUUAACGUGAACAGUGCCUUGGAUACUGGGGAGCUUGAAUGUGGCAGAGGAUAGUGGAAUGGCUGGUGUAGCGGUGAAAUGCGUAGAUAUCAGUCGGAACACCCAUGGCGAAGGCAGCUAUCUGGGCUAACAUUGACGCUGAGGUGCGAAAGCGUGGGGAGCGAACGGG